rnacentral:rRNA from 1 species
AGAGAUUUGAUCCUGGCUCAGGACGAACGCUGGCGGCGUGCCUAAUACAUGCAAGUCGAACGAACUCUGGUAUUGAUUGGUGCUUGCAUCAUGAUUUACAUUUGAGUGAGUGGCGAACUGGUGAGUAACACGUGGGAAACCUGCCCAGAAGCGGGGGAUAACACCUGGAAACAGAUGCUAAUACCGCAUAACAACUUGGACCGCAUGGUCCGAGUUUGAAAGAUGGCUUCGGCUAUCACUUUUGGAUGGUCCCGCGGCGUAUUAGCUAGAUGGUGGGGUAACGGCUCACCAUGGCAAUGAUACGUAGCCGACCUGAGAGGGUAAUCGGCCACAUUGGGACUGAGACACGGCCCAAACUCCUACGGGAGGCAGCAGUAGGGAAUCUUCCACAAUGGACGAAAGUCUGAUGGAGCAACGCCGCGUGAGUGAAGAAGGGUUUCGGCUCGUAAAACUCUGUUGUUGAAGAAGAACAUAUCUGAGAGUAACUGUUCAGGUAUUGACGGUAUUUAACCAGAAAGCCACGGCUAACUACGUGCCAGCAGCCGCGGUAAUACGUAGGUGGCAAGCGUUGUCCGGAUUUAUUGGGCGUAAAGAGAGCGCAGGCGGUUUUUUAAGUCUGAUGUGAAAGCCUUCGGCUCAACCGAAGAAGUGCAUCGGAAACUGGGAAACUUGAGUGCAGAAGAGGACAGUGGAACUCCAUGUGUAGCGGUGAAAUGCGUAGAUAUAUGGAAGAACACCAGUGGCGAAGGCGGCUGUCUGGUCUGUAACUGACGCUGAGGCUCGAAAGUAUGGGUAGCAAACAGGAUUAGAUACCCUGGUAGUCCAUACCGUAAACGAUGAAUGCUAAGUGUUGGAGGGUUUCCGCCCUUCAGUGCUGCAGCUAACGCAUUAAGCAUUCCGCCUGGGGAGUACGGCCGCAAGGCUGAAACUCAAAGGAAUUGACGGGGGCCCGCACAAGCGGUGGAGCAUGUGGUUUAAUUCGAAGCUACGCGAAGAACCUUACCAGGUCUUGACAUACUAUGCAAAUCUAAGAGAUUAGACGUUCCCUUCGGGGACAUGGAUACAGGUGGUGCAUGGUUGUCGUCAGCUCGUGUCGUGAGAUGUUGGGUUAAGUCCCGCAACGAGCGCAACCCUUAUUAUCAGUUGCCAGCAUUAAGUUGGGCACUCUGGUGAGACUGCCGGUGACAAACCGGAGGAAGGUGGGGAUGACGUCAAAUCAUCAUGCCCCUUAUGACCUGGGCUACACACGUGCUACAAUGGAUGGUACAACGAGUUGCGAACUCGCGAGAGUAAGCUAAUCUCUUAAAGCCAUUCUCAGUUCGGAUUGUAGGCUGCAACUCGCCUACAUGAAGUCGGAAUCGCUAGUAAUCGCGGAUCAGCAUGCCGCGGUGAAUACGUUCCCGGGCCUUGUACACACCGCCCGUCACACCAUGAGAGUUUGUAACACCCAAAGUCGGUGGGGUAACCUUUUAGGAACCAGCCGCCUAAGGUGGGACAGAUGAUUAGGGUG